rnacentral:rRNA from 1 species
AUUGAACGCUGGCGGCAGGCCUAACACAUGCAAGUCGAGCGGAUGAAGGGAGCUUGCUCCUGGAUUCAGCGGCGGACGGGUGAGUAAUGCCUAGGAAUCUGCCUGGUAGUGGGGGAUAACGUCCGGAAACGGGCGCUAAUACCGCAUACGUCCUGAGGGAGAAAGUGGGGGAUCUUCGGACCUCACGCUAUCAGAUGAGCCUAGGUCGGAUUAGCUAGUUGGUGGGGUAAAGGCCUACCAAGGCGACGAUCCGUAACUGGUCUGAGAGGAUGAUCAGUCACACGUGAACUGAGACACGUUCCAGGCCCCGAGGGGGGGCAGCAGGGGGGAAUAUUGGAAAAUGGGCGAAAGCCUGAUCCAGCCAUGCCGCGUGUGUGAAGAAGGUCUUCGGAUUGUAAAGCACUUUAAGUUGGGAGGAAGGGCAGUAAGUUAAUACCUUUCUGUUUUGGCUUUACCAACAGAAUAAGCACCGGCUAACUUCGU